GGGCUGGCAUGUCCAUUAGGCAACCUUAGGCAGUUGCCUACAGUUGUAGCCCUGGGGGGCACUGAAUUGGGUGCCCCCCUCUGGGUAGGGGGGAGCAAGCAAGCAAGGAAGGGAGAGCCACUGACCUCCCCACUCGGAGAUAAAGAUCAGCAAUCAACUGACUGGCAGGACCUUUCCCCUGUGCCCUCCCACACAUUUUAAAUUGCCCAGGAGGGAGCGGGAAGCAAAGGCAAAGACUCUCUGUGUGUGUCCAGAUUGCAGUGCAUGCAGUCAGGCCAUACUAGGGCAUUGCAUACUAGGGCUCUACCCCACCUCUCAGGCACCCCUCAGGUGGAGAAGGCGAGAAUGUUAAAAGUUGGCAAGGAGGAAGAAGAGAGAAAGAGAGCAAUGCAAUGGACAGCGGUGGCCAUUAGGGACUGGCCUGUGACCCACUCUCAGAAGCUUCACGACUCACUUCUCGGUCCCAAUCUACAGGAUGGGAAACACUGCACUAGACCAAUGUUUAUGCAUGUGGAAGUGCUUGAGUCAGAGAAAUUAGCAGUGCAGUGGAGGAAAGCCUCCACAGCAGUGAACCGAAGGUGAGUCCUAAAAAUCAUUUUGCCAGGGAACAUUGUUGCUGAUCUGUUCUUCACUGUUCAUCAUCAAAAGAACUGCCAAGGGGGACUCUAGCAUGAAGCUGCUGAACUGGAAUUAAUCAAGAAGUCUGAUGCCAUCUACUAAGGCUGUUAAAGGCAUUAACUAGCUUAGAUAGAUGUACAUUGAGGAAAGGCACAUUAGCUGUCAUUGCUGCUCACUCUGCAGAUUACCGUCUGGCAAGCCUCCUUUCAGGGUCUGACAAGAGGACCAUAGAAACAACAAAAUGUAUUUCAUGGAUAUUAAAACAUUGUGAUCAAGUUUGGAAAUCAUCUUGACAGACUGGAUUCUGAGGACCCUGACUUAAUUGUUAUAGUUGCUGAAUAUGAUUUCUUUAAAAGUUUAUUUUAAAACUUA